rnacentral:rRNA from 1 species
CCUACGGGGCGCUGCAGUGAGGAAUAUUGGUCAAUGGACGAGAGUCUGAACCAGCCAAGUAGCGUGAAGGAUGACUGCCCUAUGGGUUGUAAACUUCUUUUAUAUGGGAAUAAAAUGUUCCACGUGUGGGAUUUUGUAUGUACCAUAUGAAUAAGGAUCGGCUAACUCCGUGCCAGCAGCCGCGGUAAUACGGAGGAUCCGAGCGUUAUCCGGAUUUAUUGGGUUUAAAGGGAGCGUAGGUGGAUUGUUAAGUCAGUUGUGAAAGUUUGCGGCUCAACCGUAAAAUUGCAGUUGAAACUGGCAGUCUUGAGUACAGUAGAGGUGGGCGGAAUUCGUGGUGUAGCGGUGAAAUGCUUAGAGAUCACGAAGAACUCCGAUUGCGAAGGCAGUUCACUGGACUGCAACUGACACUGAGGCUCGAAAGUGUGGGUAUCAAACAGGAUUAGAUACCCGGGUAGUC